AGUUUGAUCCUGGCUCAUGACGAACGCUGGCGGCGUGCCUAAUACAUGCAAGUCGAGCGAAUUUUUGGGAGCUUGCUCCCGAAAGUUAGCGGCGGACGGGUGAGUAACACGUGGGCAACCUGCCUAUAAGACUGGGAUAACUUCGGGAAACCGGAGCUAAUACCAGAUAAUUCUUUUCUACUCAUGUAGGAAAGCUGAAAGACGGUUUACGCUGUCACUUAUAGAUGGGCCCGCGGCGCAUUAGCUAGUUGGUGAGGUAACGGCUCACCAAGGCCACGAUGCGUAGCCGACCUGAGAGGGUGAUCGGCCACACUGGGACUGAGACACGGCCCAGACUCCUACGGGAGGCAGCAGUACGGAAUCUUCCGCAAUGGACGAAAGUCUGACGGAGCAACGCCGCGUGAGUGAUGAAGGU
rnacentral:rRNA from 1 species